rnacentral:lncRNA from 1 species
CCUCGCGUGUGCGGCCGGCCCCGCGGCCGCAGCCGCCGGAGCGCGCCCGCGGGGAGGGGCCGGCGGCGGGGCCCAUGGGGACCCGUUAGCAGCGGGGAGCGGCCUCCCGGUGCCCGCCGCCUUCCCCGGUACAGGGGCAGCGCUGGCUGCCGCCGGGACGGAGCGGCAGCGGGAGGGCGGGGGGUGCCGGGGCCUCCCUUGUGAUUUUUUUUUUUUAAUUGUAUUUUUUAUUUUUGUUCCUCCUUUCUUCUCUCUCUCCUGGCCCUUCCCGGACUGCGAGAGAUUAUUUUAUGCCUACCUCAUCUUCUUGGAAAGAGGAAGACAAAUGGAACUACGUGAUUCUGUAAACGCCUAGAGAUCAUUCUGGUGUUGUAGGAACACAGUGAUACAGAAUUGUAGGGGUUCUCUGAAGGGCCCUCUGAAGAUCAGCUACUCCAACCCCCCUGUUGACACAGGUUCUCUGGAGUAGAUUGCACAGGAAAGCGUCCAGCUGGUGAGCCUGUCUGCUUCUGGGCCUGAAUGCUGCCAAGGAUAUUCUUACACUACCUGCCUGCCACAAGGUAGGCAAAAUAGGGAGGGAACUGUGGCUGUGUGUAAGCAGACUGUGUGAGAUGAAGCCAUGUGAGAUCCAGGAGAAUGGACUUAAUGUUAGAAGAGACUGUAAAAUAAAUAUAAGUGGAGAGCCUGAGAUUUUUCUGUCUGCAAUUUUGUGCAGAAACACUUAAAGCACAAGAAAUGAGUCUUGGCUCAUUCUACAGCUCAAUUUAUUUACUGGCAAUGGUUUAUUUACUGACAUUGAUUCAAAUAAAAUUAUAUUUCAG